UCGAGCGAGCUUGCCUAGAUGAUUUUAGUGCUUGCACUAAAUGAAACUAGAUACAAGCGAGCGGCGGACGGGUGAGUAACACGUGGGUAACCUGCCCAAGAGACUGGGAUAACACCUGGAAACAGAUGCUAAUACCGGAUAACAACACUAGACGCAUGUCUAGAGUUUGAAAGAUGGUUCUGCUAUCACUCUUGGAUGGACCUGCGGUGCAUUAGCUAGUUGGUAAGGUAACGGCUUACCAAGGCAAUGAUGCAUAGCCGAGUUGAGAGACUGAUCGGCCACAUUGGGACUGAGACACGGCCCAAACUCCUACGGGAGGCAGCAGUAGGGAAUCUUCCACAGUGGACGAAAGUCUGAUGGAGCAACGCCGCGUGAGUGAAGAAGGGUUUCGGCUCGUAAAGCUCUGUUGGUAGUGAAGAAAGAUAGAGGUAGUAACUGGCCUUUAUUUGACGGUAAUUACUUAGAAAGUCACGGCUAACUACGUG
rnacentral:rRNA from 1 species